AACCAUGCACCGAAGCUGCGGCAGCGACACUGUGUGUUGUUGGGUAGGGGAGCGUUCUGUAAGCCUGUGAAGGUGGCCUGUGAGGGUUGCUGGAGGUAUCAGAAGUGCGAAUGCUGACAUAAGUAACGAUAAAGCGGGUGAAAAGCCCGCUCGCCGGAAGACCAAGGGUUCCUGUCCAACGUUAAUCGGGGCAGGGUGAGUCGACCCCUAAGGCGAGGCCGAAAGGCGUAGUCGAUGGGAAACGGGUUAAUAUUCCCGUACUUGGUGUUACUGCGAAGGGGGGACGGAGAAGGCUAUGUUGGCCGGGCGACGGUUGUCCCGGUUUAAGCGUGUAGGCUGGUUUUCCAGGCAAAUCCGGAAAAUCAAGGCUGAGGCGUGACGACGAGGCACUACGGUGCUGAAGCAACAAAUGCCCUGCUUCCAGGAAAAGCCUCUAAGCAUCAGGUAACACGAAAUCGUACCCCAAACCGACACAGGUGGUCAGGUAGAGAAUACCAAGGCGCUUGAGAGAACUCGGGUGAAGGAACUAGGCAAAAUGGUGCCGUAACUUCGGGAGAAGGCACGCUGACACGUAGGUGAAGUGAUUUACUCAUGGAGCUGAAGUCAGUCGAAGAUACCAGCUGGCUGCAACUGUUUAUUAAAAACACAGCACUGUGCAAACACGAAAGUGGACGUAUACGGUGUGACGCCUGCCCGGUGCCGGAAGGUUAAUUGAUGGGGUCAGCGCAAGCGAAGCUCCUGAUCGAAGCCCCGGUAAACGGCGGCCGUAACUAUAACGGUCCUAAGGUAGCGAAAUUCCUUGUCGGGUAAGUUCCGACCUGCACGAAUGGCGUAAUGAUGGCCAGGCUGUCUCCACCCGAGACUCAGUGAAAUUGAACUCGCUGUGAAGAUGCAGUGUACCCGCGGCAAGACGGAAAGACCCCGUGAACCUUUACUAUAGCUUGACACUGAACAUUGAGCCUUGAUGUGUAGGAUAGGUGGGAGGCUUUGAAGUGUGGACGCCAGUCUGCAUGGAGCCGACCUUGAAAUACCACCCUUUAAUGUUUGAUGUUCUAACGUGGACCCGUAAUCCGGGUUGCGGACAGUGUCUGGUGGGUAGUUUGACUGGGGCGGUCUCCUCCUAAAGAGUAACGGAGGAGCACGAAGGUUGGCUAAUCCUGGUCGGACAUCAGGAGGUUAGUGCAAUGGCAUAAGCCAGCUUGACUGCGAGCGUGACGGCGCGAGCAGGUGCGAAAGCAGGUCAUAGUGAUCCGGUGGUUCUGAAUGGAAGGGCCAUCGCUCAACGGAUAAAAGGUACUCCGGGGAUAACAGGCUGAUACCGCCCAAGAGUUCAUAUCGACGGCGGUGUUUGGCACCUCGAUGUCGGCUCAUCACAUCCUGGGGCUGAAGUAGGUCCCAAGGGUAUGGCUGUUCGCCAUUUAAAGUGGUACGCGAGCUGGGUUUAGAACGUCGUGAGACAGUUCGGUCCCUAUCUGCCGUGGGCGCUGGAGAACUGAGGGGGGCUGCUCCUAGUACGAGAGGACCGGAGUGGACGCAUCACUGGUGUUCGGGUUGUCAUGCCAAUGGCACUGCCCGGUAGCUAAAUGCGGAAGAGAUAAGUGCUGAAAGCAUCUAAGCACGAAACUUGCCCCGA
rnacentral:rRNA from 1 species